CUCCAAUUAUUAUAUCUAGAAUAAUUCAAAUGUACUGAUUUUUCGCCUCUCAUUUUAAACGGAUAAACUCCAAACUAUUUUUCUUAAUAUAUAACCAAGCUCAAAUUCAUCGAGGAAGGGAACAUAUAUAAAGAGAAGGCAUAUGUAGUGUACAGUGACAAUAUAGUCCUCUCGAAGUAAUAAUGUAUCUUCCAUUCAAUGUCUCCUAGCUUUAAUGCUGUAGUGACCGCCUUGCACCUAAGACUUGUUCAUAAAAAGAUGAUCUUAUAUGAUUUUUUUUUAAAGAGAUGCGGUAGUAAUGAGCCACCAUGAGGAUUUCAAUCUUAGAUUUCCCUAAGUCCU
rnacentral:lncRNA from 1 species